rnacentral:rRNA from 1 species
AUAACUGUUGGAAACGAUAGCUAAGACCGCAUAGGUGUGAUAACCGCAUGGAGAUGACAUGAAAUAUGCUACGGCAUAGGUAGAGGAUGGACUUAUGGCGCAUUAGCUAGUUGGAGGGGUAACGGCCCACCAAGGCGACGAUGCGUAGCCGACCUGAGAGGGUGACCGGCCACACUGGGACUGAGACACGGCCCAGACUCCUACGGGAGGCAGCAGUAGGGAAUUUUCGGCAAUGGGGGAAACCCCGACCGAGCAACGCCGCGUGAAGGAAGAAGUAAUUCGUUAUGUAAACUUCUGUCAUAGAGGAAGAACGGUGCGUGUAGGGAAUGACAUGCAAGUGACGGUACUCUAUAAGAAAGCCACGGCUAACUACGUGCCAGCAGCCGCGGUAAUACGUAGGUGGCGAGCGUUAUCCGGAAUUAUUGGGCGUAAAGAGGGAGCAGGCGGCACUAAGGGUCUGUGGUGAAAGAUCGAAGCUUAACUUCGGUAAGCCAUGGAAACCGUAGAGCUAGAGUGUGUGAGAGGAUCGUGGAAUUCCAUGUGUAGCGGUGAAAUGCGUAGAUAUAUGGAGGAACACCAGUGGCGAAGGCGACGAUCUGGCGCAUAACUGACGCUCAGUCCCGAAAGCGUGGGGAGCAAAUAGGAUUAGAUACCCUAGUAGUCCACGCCGUAAACGAUGAGUACUAAGUGUUGGGAGUCAAAUCUCAGUGCUG